GCGCGGGCGGGGAUGAAGGCGGAGAAGCGGAAGCCAUGGCAACCAGAGGUAAUAUGCUGUAGUUGCAAGAGGAUAGCCUUAAUUCACCUGGGAUGCAAUCUGGUCUCUGACCCUUACUAGCCUCAGAGAGAGUGAGGCUUCACUGUCGGAGGACAGGAGAAAAGAGGAAGCCACAAUGUACAAAUGCCCAGAGUGUGCACAGCCUGUGGUAGAUUCUAUGGCCCUGGAACAGGAUGCUUUCCACAGGAUUGGAGAUAGGCACUCAUGAACAUGUAUGAAGCAAUUAGAGAACAAGUAAGAAUUCAAUUAUGUUGUGUUGACACAAGCCCAAAAGGCCAGAGAAGGAUGGGAUUAAUGUGACAGCAGAUGCUUUAAAAAUUUUUGUGAAUCCAGUCAGAAUGGUUAUCGUC